rnacentral:rRNA from 1 species
UCUUAGGCCUAAAUAAAGAGUCGGUACUACAAACACAUGUUUAAAACCGAAUGCACUUGGCGGUGCUCUAACCAAUUAGGGGAACCUGUUGCUUAAUCCGAUGAUCCACGUCUUCUCUACUUUAUCUAGCUUUAAGCAGCCUGUGUAUUGCCGUCGCCAGCCAAAAUAGCGAUAUUAGAGCAAAAUAUGUCUUCCACUACAAGUCAGGUCGAAAUACAGCCUAUGAUAAAGGGUUAAUGGGUUACAUUUCUCAGUAGUAGUAGAGCCCUAUAUAAAAAAUAUAGUAAAAAAGGACUUAAAAGUAAGUUUAAACACGUAAUUAAACUGAAUUGAGCCCUGGAGUGUGU